CAGAGGUUUGGUCCUGGCCUUUCUAUUAGCUGUUAGUAGACUUACACAUGCAAGAAUCCCCGCCCCUGUGAAAUAUGCCCUCUAGACUAUUUAGCCAAUAGUAAGAGGAGCUGGUAUCAAGCACACUAAAACGUAGCUCACAACACCUUGCUCAGCCACACCCCCACGGGAAACAGCAGUGACAAAAAUUAAGCAAUAGACGAAAGUCUGACUAAGUCAUACUUCUAAGGACUGGUAAAUUUCGUGCCAGCCACCGCGGUCAUACGAUUAGACCAAGCUAAUAGACGUUCGGCGUAAAGAGUGUCCUAGAGUUGUAGCAAUCCAAUAAAGCUAAACUUUAACUAAACUGUAAAAAGCCCUAGUUAAUGUAAAAUAAACUACGAAAGUGACUUUAAAACAUCUGAUUACACGAUAGCUAAGACCCAAACUGGGAUUAGAUACCCCACUAUGCUUAGCCUUAAACAUAAAAAAUUAUGAACAAAAUUAUUCGCCAGAGUACUACCAGCAACAGCUAGAAACUCAAAGGACUUGGCGGUGCCUUAUAUCCUUCUAGAGGAGCCUGUUCUGUAACCGAUAAACCCCGUUAAACCUCACCAAUCCUUGCCAAAUCAGCCUAUAUACCGCCAUCUUCAGCAAACCCUAAAAAGGAAGCAUAGUAAGCACAAACAUCAACAUAAAAACGUUAGGUCAAGGUGUAGCUAAUGGAUUGGAAAGAAAUGGGCUACAUUCCUCGCAAUCGAGGAAUUACUCAUACGCAAGCUUCUGUGAAACCAGCAGUUAAAGGUGGAUUUAGUAGUAAAUUAAGAAUAGAGAGCUUAAUUGAACAAGGCCAUGAGGCACGCACACACCGCCCGUCACCCUCCUCAAGCAAAAUAUCUUACUAUUAUAUAAUUCCUAGUAAUUUGAACCUGUCAGAGGAGAUAAGUCGUAACAAGGUAAGUGUACUGGAAAGUGCACUUGGAUAACA
rnacentral:ncRNA from 1 species